rnacentral:rRNA from 1 species
AUUGAACGCUGGCGGCAUGCUUUACACAUGCAAGUCGAACGGUAACAGGCCGCAAGGUGCUGACGAGUGGCGAACGGGUGAGUAAUGCAUCGGAACGUGCCCAGUCGUGGGGGAUAACUACUCGAAAGAGUAGCUAAUACCGCAUACGAUCUAUGGAUGAAAGCGGGGGACCGUAAGGCCUCGCGCGAUUGGAGCGGCCGAUGUCAGAUUAGGUAGUUGGUGGGGUAAAGGCUCACCAAGCCAACGAUCUGUAGCUGGUCUGAGAGGACGACUAGCCACACUGGGACUGAGACACGGCCCAGACUCCUACGGGAGGCAGCAGUGGGGAAUUUUGGACAAUGGGCGCAAGCCUGAUCCAGCAAUGCCACGUGCAGGAAGAAGGCCUUCGGGUUGUAAACUGCUUUUGUACGGAACGAAACGGCUCUGGUUAAUACCCGGGGCUAAUGACGGUACCGUAAGAAUAAGCACCGGCUAACUACGUG